rnacentral:rRNA from 1 species
GUAAUCAUAUGCUUGUCUCAAAGAUUAAGCCAUGCAUGUCUAAGUACAUGCCGAAAUAAGGCGAAACCGCGAAUGGCUCAUUAAAUCAGUUAUGGUUCCUUAGAUCGUUUCUUCCUACUUGGAUAACUGUGGCAAUUCUAGAGCUAAUACAUGCAGUGAGCCUGAAGCCCUUUGGGCGACGGGUGCUUUUAUUAGACCAAGAUCGAUCGGGUUUCGGCCCGUAUUGUGUGGUGACUCUGGAUAACUUUGUGCUGAUCGCAUGGCCACGAGCCGGCGACGUUUCUUUCAAGUGUCUGCCUUAUCAACUUUCGAUGGUAGGUUACUUGCUUACCAUGGUUGUUACGGGUAACGGAGAAUCAGGGUUCGAUUCCGGAGAGGGAGCCUGAGAAACGGCUACCACAUCCAAGGAAGGCAGCAGGCGCGCAAAUUACCCACUCCCGGCACGGGGAGGUAGUGACGAAAAAUAACAAUACGGGACUCUUUUGAGGCCCCGUAAUUGAAAUGAGUACACUCUAAAUCCUUUAACGAGGAUCAAUUGGAGGGCAAGUCUGGUGCCAGCAGCCGCGGUAAUUCCAGCUCCAAUAGCGUAUACUAAAGCUGCUGCGGUUAAAAAGCUCGUAGUUGGAUCUCAGUUCCAGACGAGUAGUGCAUCUACCCGAUGCGACGGCUCGGACUGAACAUCAUGCCGGUCCUUUCUUGGUGCACUUCAUUGUGUGCCUCGAGAAGGCCGGUGCUUUUACUUUGAAAAAAUUAGAGUGCUCAACGCAGGCGAGUCGCCUGAAUAAACUUGCAUGGAAUAAUAGAACAAGACCUCGUUUCUGUUCUGUUGGUUUUUGGAAUACGAGGUAAUGAUUAAGAGGGACAGACGGGGGCAUUCGUAUUGCGGCGCUAGAGGUGAAAUUCUUGGACCGUCGCAAGACGAACUACUGCGAAAGCAUUUGCCAAGAAUGUUUUCUUUGAUCAAGAACGAAAGUCAGAGGUUCGAAGGCGAUCAGAUACCGCCCUAGUUCUGACCAUAAACGAUGCCAACCAGCGAUCCGCCUGAGUUACUCAAAUGACUCGGCGGGCAGCUUCCGGGAAACCAAAGUAUUUGGGUUCCGGGGGAAGUAUGGUUGCAAAGCUGAAACUUAAAGGAAUUGACGGAAGGGCACCACCAGGAGUGGAGCCUGCGGCUUAAUUUGACUCAACACGGGAAAACUUACCCGGCCCGGACACUGGGAGGAUUGACAGAUUGAGAGCUCUUUCUUGAUUCGGUGGGUGGUGGUGCAUGGCCGUUCUUAGUUGGUGGAGCGAUUUGUCUGGUUAAUUCCGAUAACGAACGAGACUCUAGCCUAUUAAAUAGGUGCGGGGUUCCCAGCACCUUACAACCUUCUUAGAGGGACAAGCGGCUCCUAGCCGCACGAAACAGAGCAAUAACAGGUCUGUGAUGCCCUUAGAUGUCCGGGGCCGCACGCGCGCUACACUGAAGGAAGCAGCGUGUCUUUAUCCCUGUCUGAAAAGACUGGGUAACCCGUGGAACUUCUUUCGUGAUUGGGAUAGGGGCUUGCAAUUGUUCCCCUUGAACGAGGAAUUCCCAGUAAGCGCGAGUCAUAAGCUCGCGUUGAUUACGUCCCUGCCCUUUGUACACACCGCCCGUCGCUACUACCGAUUGAAUGAUUUAGUGAGGUCUUCGGACCGAUGUCCGGCGCGGCCUUUCGGUUGCGCCGGUCUGUUGGAAAGAUGACCAAACUUGAUCAUUUAGAGGAAGUAAAAGUCGUAACAAGGUUUCCGUAGGUGAACCUGCGGA